GUCCAUGCCGUAACGAUGUCUACUAGCCAUUGGGCCUUUGAGGCUUUAGUGGCGCAGCUAACGCGAUAAGUAGACCGCCUGGGAGUACGGUCGCAAGACUAAACUCAAAUGAAUUGACGGGGCCCGCACAAGCGGUGGAGCAUGUGGUUUAAUUCGAUGCAACGCGAAGAACCUUACCUGGUCUUGACAUAGUAAGAACUUUUCAGAGAUGGAUUGGUGCCUUCGGGAACUUACAUACAGGUGCUGCAUGGCUGUCGU
rnacentral:rRNA from 1 species